AACUCCGACUAUGAAAUCAGAGGGAUCUGAUUUCAAUCUUACGAGAUCUAAUUGAUUUCAUCUGAGAGUCCAUAGACUCCUACUCGCCGACUCAAUGUGGUUCACCGUUCACUCCCUCACCACCUCUCUCUUUUUCCGGCGACCUCUGUUCUCUCCGAAACCUCUCUCCGUCCGUAAAAGAUCGGCGUCCGAUUCAAGCAUUUUCUUCCUCAAAUGAGCAUCGUCGGAUCUUGUAUCUCACUUGCAGCGAUUUGUGCAUAGCUUGACCUCCAUGGCGUCGAUUUCAAGUGGACUAUGGCCCGCCUCAUAUCCAAGCAUGCCUGGCUCUACACUGAGAUGCUUGCUGCCGAAACCAUUGUCUAUCAGAAGGACAAUCUGGACAGAUUCUUGUACUUUCCUUCAGAACAGCAUCCUAUUGUUCUAGAAAUUGGUGGCAGUAAUUUAGAAAACCUGGCAAAAGCUACUCAACUUGCUAAUAUUUACAAAUAUGAUGGGAUCAAUUUUAAAUACGAGUAGUUUUAUGGCCUCUUGCGUGACUUAAACACUAUUGAUGAGGUCAAUGCAGCUAGGAAAGCAGGAGCUCAUGGUGUAAUGGUUAAUCUGCUCUAUGAUAUACGAUUUCUUUAUGGGAAAUGGUUGGCAUGUGACAUCAUAUCAAGCUAUCAUCAGCCCCUUCAUGUACGCAUGUAAUCAAUCUAAAGACAAUUAUAAUCUUGCUAGC